UACGGGGGGGGCAAGCGUUGUUCGGAAUUACUGGGCGUAAAGGGCUCGUAGGCGGCCAACUAAGUCAGACGUGAAAUCCCCAGGCUCAACCUGGGAACUGCGUCUGAUACUGGAUGGCUUGAAUCCGGGAGAGGGAUGCAGAAUUCCAGGUGUGGCGGUGAAAUGCGUAGAUAUCUGGAGGAAUACCGGUGGCGAAGGCGGCAUCCUGGACCAUAACUGACGCUGAGGCGCGAAAGCUAGGGGAGCAAACGGG
rnacentral:rRNA from 1 species